UACAGAGGUCCCAAGCGUUGUUCGGAUUCACUGGGCGUAAAGGGUGCGUAGGCGGUCGGGUAAGUCUGAUGUGAAAUCUCACAGCUUAACUGUGAAACUGCAUUGGAUACUAUCCGGCUAGAGGAAUGGAGGGGAGACUGGAAUACUUGGUGUAGCAGUGAAAUGCGUAGAUAUCAAGUGGAACACCAGUGGCGAAGGCGAGUCUCUGGACAUUUCCUGAUGCUGAGGCACGAAAGCCAGGGGAGCAAACGGG
rnacentral:rRNA from 1 species